AUUGUGAUGAUAUAUUUUUAUGCACUCCGUCGGUUGCGGCGACGAGCGUCCCAGCUGAAACGAUCAACGGAAAAUCUUGCUCGUAAAAUUAACGUGCAAGUGGCUGAGCACUCCGCAGACACGUAUAUUGGCUAAAUGUAGUUCUCGGAGAGAUUCAGCGUGACAUAGUGUGACAAGGCUGGCCC